GGGGAAGACAGGAGAAAGUCAAGCACUCUUGUUCCACUCUCCUGCCAGCUUAUACAGAUGUCUUUCAAUGAAAUGGACUUAAGCUUCCUGACAGUUAAGAUGGUGGCAUGUGACAUGAAUUAGUCCAUUGCCAGAAGUCAGGAGUUACCAGCUUCCCCAAGUCCAGCCACACCUCCUGCCCCACCUGGUCUGACUGCAGAUCCACUAUUUGCUAUCAUCACCAGGAGUUGAGUGAAAGAAGGCCGCUUGUCCCAGGUGAUGGAGCUAAAAGAUCGUAAGCCACUAUUAGCCUAUAGCCACCAUUAGCCCCAGGGUUUUUUGGACCAAAGUCCAAGUGAGAAAUAAAGCCUAUCUAUUAAAUCAUUUAAAUUUUGUGGUUAAAAUGUUACUGCAGUAUCACCGAUCCUAACCUCACAAAUAUGGUUUGUUAAUUGUGGUGGUCAAAUUUGUCUAGUUCUUAACCAACCUAUUAUUUACUUAAUACAUUAAUUUCUGACAAAUGCAUGUUAAAAAUAUUUUGGUUAUAUAUUUGUUAAUUUCUCUAAUUUUUGUCAGUUUGGAGUUCAUGUAAGUUUGAUGCAUGCAGAUUCAAAAUAUCAAGUCUUAAUGAACUAUUUUUGUAUCAUUAUAGAAUGAUACUGUAUCACUAAUAACAGCUUUCAUUUUGAAUCUAUUCUGACAUUGAUAUAGCAGUAACAUUAAUAUAAUUACCCCAAUUUUAUUUUGAUUAAUAUUUGCCUGCUAUAUCAUUUUCCACUACAUAUAAAUACAUAUGUAUGUGUAUGUAUAUAUACAUACGUACAUGCACACACAUGCAUAUAAACAUUCAAACACAUACACAUUUGUUUAUAAGUUGGAAUAUGUUUUCACCCACUCUGAGAA